AUAUAUUGCGUCCACAACUAAAAUCGUAGCAGUGAAACCAAGAUUGUUACGGUAUUCAACUGGACAAUAUUAGACGCUAUAAUAUACUAUUCCGCUUGAGGUUAUCGCCUUGAAGAUAUUUACCUUAAUAAAGUCAAAAAUCAACACCAAUUAAGU
rfam:Drosophila mojavensis strain TSC#15081-1352.22 Ctg01_9647, whole genome shotgun sequence.